CCCUGGCUUCAACACAUGAAUUUUGGGGCACACUCAACUGUUAGCACUCAUCACCUUGCAGGGACAGAGGACGUGACAAAGAGUGGGAAAUGAACGGGCUAGAACGUGACGUCUUCAGAAGAAAAUCAAUUCUUUGGCGGAAAGAAUGACUCUGCCCUUAAAUGGUCAAGAAAAGAGUGGAUGGCCUUCUUGGUUGACAGGAUGAGCCUGACGUAGAACUGAAGCCCAUUUCUCUGCCAGAAGAGGGCAAGUCCUGUGGCACCUAGCUGCAGUGUUGUAGGCUGUGAGCAGGAGAAAGGGCAAGAUUCCAGAACUACUCAAUGGACAGUCCAGAGGAAGGGUGUGGGUACACCAUGCAGGAGGUAUCAGACUUAGGGGUAGGGCAGGCAGAAGGUACAGAGAAACUGGUGGGAGAGAGAAAGAAAAAAAGGAGUGUCCAAAUGAGAUCUCACUCCUUUUCCUCUAUCCUAUGGCAUGCAAGACCAGAGGUCCCCACAAUGCUGUGUGCAUCAUUUGCCCUGGAGGGCUAGUGAACUGCGGCUUGCUGGGCUGUGCACCGAGAGCGUCACACACAGCAGGUCUGCCAUGGAGCCUGAGAAAUGGGGUGUCUAAGAAGUGCUAAAUGUUGCUGAGGUUGCUGAUCAGAGGCGCACACUUGGAGAGCUGCUGGCCUGCUGCUGAAUGUCCUGCUGCUGCCUGCUGUCUGAGAGAUGCUUGAACUCUUCAGGCAAAAGCUGCUCCUGUGGUCUGCAGAGAUUGGCCUGAGAAGAUAAAACAUUGACAGGGGAGAGUAGGGUGGCCUCCCUUCUCUCAGAAAACAGACCACAAAAGGCUGAUUUCCAAGUCACCCAUGGCCCCAGCAGGCAAAGGACCUCCCUUUUGUAGGAUAUAAAGAAGGAUCUCAGCUUG